ACCAACCAACAACCAUUUCUUUCACCAUUCAGUUCCUAAUAUCCCCUCCAGUGCUCAACAUUUGCAAGGACUAAACAAUAGCUGCCAUAACAACAAUCUAACUUCUCUUGCCACAAAUCCGCAAGGUGAUAAUGGAACAAGUAAUAUUGGUGGAAUGCCCUCUAUGCAGCAGUUAACAGCUACUGGGCAAGCUGUGGCUGAUACGGCUCCCAUGCAACAUGUACAAAAGCAAACUGUUCCUAGGGUCGGGCCAGCGACUUUGCCCAGUGGCAACAAAGUUCUUUCUCAUCCAGUUGCAAAGGAUAAUAAAAAGAAAUGACUCAAAUGCUUCUCCUAUUACUGCUGGUUGAAGUUAGGGUUUGGAAAA
rnacentral:misc_RNA from 1 species